UACGGGGGGGGCAAGCGUUGUUCGGAAUUACUGGGCGUAAAGGGCUCGUAGGCGGCCAACUAAGUCGGAUGUGAAAUCCCCAAGCUUAACUUGGGAACUGCAUCCGAUACUGGAUGGCUUGAAUCCGGGAGAGGGAUGCAGAAUUCCAGGUGUAGCGGUGAAAUGCGUAGAUAUCUGGAGGAAGACCGGUGGCGAAGGCGGCAUCCUGGACCGGCAUUGACGCUGAUGAGCGAAAGCUAGGGGAGCAAACGGG
rnacentral:rRNA from 1 species